AGAGCCCACAAACUUUUUUCUUUUAAAAAUAAGAUAAGAAGGACAAUGGCAUUGGUACGUUGCAAGUAGGGUACGUGGAGCGAGCCUAGACAACCGUUGGCUUUCUGUCUUUCACAAGAAUCAAUCAUCUAUGUUCGCCAUGUGAGCUUCAUAUCACAGACUCUCAGUGGACACUUCAUCACUCUCUCUCUCUCUCUCUCUCUCUCUCAUCAAAGCCAUGGCAAGCACCAGCUCUCCCGCCCUGUCCUUGUCAAAACUGGAUUUUCCACUAUUUUCCUCUCAAAGAAAAAUGCAAAAUCUCCAUCAAGUUAAGAUUCCUCGCAGGUUGUCGAAGUUUUCUGGGGCUAAAUCAAACGGGUUUGUCCUUUUUUCUUCACUGAAUGGUCAAACUGGUGAGACCAGCCCUCCUAGUGUUGAAGCAACCACUUCAGUAAACAAUGUGUCUGACGUCCAAGUUCAAAGCAGUAUAUGGAACUGGAGGGGUUAUUCUAUCCGAUAUCAGCAUGCUGGCAACAGUGGCCCGGCAUUAGUUUUGAUUCAUGGUUUUGGAGCAAACAGUGAUCAUUGGAGGAAAAAUCUUCCAGUUCUUUCAAAAUCACACAGGGUAUACUCUAUCGAUCUUAUUGGUUAUGGGUACUCAGACAAACCAAAUCCUCGUCAAUUCGGGGAAACUUUGUUUUAUACAUUUGAGACAUGGGCCACCCAGCUAAAUGAUUUUUGUACUGACGUUGUCAAGGGUGAAGCAUUCUUUAUAUGCAACUCUAUCGGAGGACUUGUCGGUCUUCAGGCAGCAGUUAUGGAGCCACAGUUAUGCAAGGGCAUAAUGCUUUUGAAUAUUUCUCUUCGUAUGCUGCAUAUUACAAAGCAGCCUUGGUGCGGGAGACCAUUGAUCAAAUCCUUUCAGAACUUGCUGAGGGUUUGGUGCAGUGAAUUAGUGGAGCAUUCAAACAAAAAUACAAACAGAAAUACUACAUUACUAAGGUAUUUCCCUCAUUUCAUUACCGAGUCUCGACGACUGUCUCACGAAAUUCAGCACCGCCGGUACGCCGCCGUGGUUGCUCUUCAGAGCACCAAAACGUCCAGACCCAAAGCCCGCCCCUUCUCUCUGACGCUCUCACCGGUUAUGCGAGGCAAGGAAGCCAAGGGCCAGCCGAAGGGCACUCAAGGACAAAAACCCAUCUGGAAAUGCAGCCAAUAUCCUCGUAGGAAAGGUCUUGGAUGCCGCUCCGAGCCCGAUCCAAACACCAUGGGACUCCAACCCAGAGAAGGAGAACCACGCGAGCCUCUCUCAGACUCGCACCUCCCCCAAGAAGUCAGCCAAAGCUGCGGCUUCUAAGAGACAGGCCAAGCAGAAGAAGACCCAACUGUCGUCAUUCGAGAAAGAACUCGAAGAAAUGCAAGAGAAGCUGCAAGCGAUGAAGCUCGAGAAGGAGAAACCCUUUGAGCUCUUGAAGGAGAAGAAUGAGAUCUUGAAGACCAAGGAGGAAGAUCUAGCAAUGAAGGGCCGAGAGCAAGACAAGCUUCAGAUGGAGUUGAAGAAGCUGCAGAAGCUCAAGGAGUUCAAACCCACCGUGAUGGAAAUGGAAAUGGAUAUGGAUAUGGUGAGGAGCAAUCAGAGGAGAUUGGGGCACUGCUGCAUGAACAAUGCAAGGCUGAUGGAGCUCCCCAUCGAAAUCCUUGACAACAUCUAUUUGAGGCUACCCGUAAGCUGUCUUUUUACCCUCAGAUGUGUCUCUAAGACAUCAAAGAACAUAGUCGACUGCCCUUGCUUUGUUACACAGCACAUGCGACAUUUACUUUCGGCACAAUCUACUUUUGCUUCCGAUCAGUUUAUGCUUCUUCAUCACCUUUUCUACGACUCUCUUUGUGGAUUUGCCUUUACACCACUGAAAUAUGAUGGCGUCAGCGCUGCCUUGAAGAGAAGCGAAGACUAUGCAAUCGUUUCUGAUAUUGUGUCCACAAAGAUUGGUGUUUCUUAUUCUUUGAGUUUUGUUUUCUACAACUUGUUUUUCUUUCGAGAUCAUGGCUAUAGUCGUCAACCGUACAAGAAGAAAGAAAGAAGUCCAUGCUUCUUAUUCAAUCCUUUAAAGGGAGAAGUUCUUCCACUCCCAACCACUGACAUCCAAUUUCCAUAUAGUUUUUAUGGAUCGUGCAAGGAAUGGUAUGGUAUGGGAUUUGAUGAUAUAACCAGCACUUACAAGAUUCUGUGUGUUUCUGGAGAUGAAGAUUCGACGAGAUAUCAACUUAGGGCCCAAAUUUAUGUACUAGGUACCGGCUCGUGGCGAGAGAUACCCUCAGUCCCUCCUCGUAAUUUGAGCAACAACCAUGCAUUUGCACAUGGAGAUCAGCAUUGGUUGCUUUAUUUACCUGAUCACUCAAGUUAUGAUAAUAGAAGAGUACUCGGUAUAUGUUCUUUUGACUAUAAGAAAGAGGAGUUUUACUCGACUAUUCCUCUUCCCGAGCACAUGCAACGUAAGUAUAUUCCGCACUAUAUGGUCCUUUUGUCUCUACACUUGCUUAAUCUUAAAGGAUCUUUGGCCGUCGUGGACACUUUAUCAGAUGACUAUAUUGAGGUAUGGGUGUUAAAGAACUAUGAUACAAAAGAAUGGAGGCUAGAUUACAAGAUAGAAAACGCAAUUGUCAGAGGCGAGCUUAUUAACGUGACAUGUUGUGAAUGGAAGUAUGGCAUAUUCUUCACUAAAUCACAAGGGAUGUCAGAAAGUAGAAGGAUUACAAUCUUUGUGGAUUUUAGAUGUGGCUCCAUUAGUCAUGUAAAGUUAUUUCCACCCAAGCGCAUCUGGAAUACAAGCAUCUUGAGCUAUAAUGGGACCUUAAUGUCCCUAAAAAAUUAUGGGAAAUUGGUGAGACCUGACCCUACUACUGGAAGCAUCAGUGUCUAGUAACGGGAAAUUUGCUGGCAUUGUUUGAUGCAGCUGCAACUGCAAGUGUAACUGUUUGUGAAAAGUUGCGAGUGGCAGGUGGGUUGGAGACUUUCAAGUUUCCAGUUCAUUUUUUUAGAUGAAUUAUGGUGCUGAGGUGUAGUGGGAGGCACUGAGUCUGAGGGGGAAGGUGCUUAAUCGGUUAAGUCGGCUGUUGCUUUUGCACUGCUGCUCCGAGGCCAUGGCUAUUUGUAGGUUUGGGCAAUCCCGGCGAUAAGUACGAAGGAACUAGGCACAAUGCGGGGUUUUAGAUGAUUGAUGUGUUUGCGGGUUCGCAGGGCAUUGCAAUGAACACGGUCCAAUGCAAAGCUAUACUUGGGCAAGGCAUGUAAAUCCUUGCGUAUGUUACUUUGUUUGUUGUCAUUUUUCAUGUUUGUUUGUGAAGUUCAGGGAAGUUUGUUAUUUCAGGUUUCGUGGGUGAAGUUCUGGUUUUUCUUGCAAAGCCUCAAACUUAAAUGAAUUUGAGAGAUGAAUCUACAGGACCCCUUGCUGCUUAUUAUAAGCUAUCUCUCAAUUCAAGGUUGGUCCCAUUCAAGAUUUUGUUCAAUUGAAUAGUCCCUGAAGCAACAAGAAGGAACUGACUGCUGGGGUUUCUUUAGCAAGAAAGUGCAGAAAAAAUGGGUGCCCUAUAAAUUUAGUAAAAAUGCUAGAGAAAAAAAGGCAAUCGCAAUUGGCAGCUUACACCACGUUCGUAACUCAACGGAAAAACAGCCAGAAGUCUAUAGUUGAUCCGAAAGAGUGGCAGGUUUGACAAUGGUCGCACUGAAUGCAUUUUUGCUCACUGUUUGAAUCUGAAAAUCUGUUAAUUUUCCAUUCAGGUUGAACCAAAAAGUCUCCUGGAUGCACAUUUUCUUAAUAGCAAUGUCUUUUGAGUAAUGUUGAAGCAGGACAUUGUAUCUUUGAGAAAGUUUAUGGUGUAUAGUUUCUGCAUUAAUUUAUUUUGGGAAUAGUAUAUGUAUUCAUAUAUGGAGUUUCGUGAUACAUGCACCGGAAAUUAUACAGUAUGCCAUUAGCUUC